UACGUAGGGCGCAAGCGUUGUCCGGAAUUAUUGGGCGUAAAGAGCUCGUAGGUGGUGUGUCGCGUCUGCCGUGAAAACCCGGAGCUCAACUCCGGGCCUGCAGUCGAUACGGGCAGACUGGAGUUCGGCAGGGGAGACUGGAAUUCCUGGUGUAGCGGUGAAAUGCGCAGAUAUCAGGAGGAACACCGGUGGCGAAGGCGGGUCUCUGGGCCGAUACUGACGCUGAGGAGCGAAAGCGUGGGGAGCGAACAGG
rnacentral:rRNA from 1 species